GCAGAAAUAAGUAUAAUACAGAAUAGAAAAAUAACACAUAAAAUCACCCAAACUAAAAGUUGGUUUUUUUGAAAAGACAGACAAAAUCAACAAUUCUUCAGCUAGACUAAGAAAAGAAGACUCAGAUUACUAAAAUCAGGAAUAAAAGAGAGGACAUUACUACAGACCUAACAUAACUAAAAAGUAUUGGAGAUUCUAUGGACUAUUGUAUUGAACAAAUUAGAUAACCAAGAUGAAAUGGAAAAAUUCCUAGAAAGACACAAACUAUUGAAACUAGUUCUAGAAGAAAUGGAAAAUCUGAAUAGAACUCUAAUGAUAUAGUUCUGUUGGGGUUGAAUUAGUAAUUUGGACACCAAUGUGCCAAGUUAAAUAUCAAAGUACCUAUUACUAAGGAAGAAGAAGAAACGAAAGAUUGUAGGGGGCUCCUAUGAAUCUAUGCCACAGCUACUGUUAACACUUGGGUGCCCUUCUCAGAAUGACAUAUAUGUAAUUUAUCACAUGGACAAUUUGGUAGCUUAGGCAAUUAGAUUUAUUGGAAAUUAAAAACGUAAGAACAUUUCAAAGAAAAUAUGAGUCACUCACUAAGUUUACUACCUUGCCAGAUCGGUGAGUUGUGUAUCUAGAGACAAUUGGAUUUUUUUUUCUUCGCCUUUUUCAACAAGGCCAUGCGAAGGCUUUCUCUGAAAAAGCUCGUCUAAUCCCACAGCUCCAGUUACCAAAUCUGUGCUGAUUUUUCUAGAACUUAGUCUCCAGCCUAAGUCUUUCUCUGAAGCUCCAGCACCUUAUACCCAAUGGCCUCCUGAACAACUCCCCUUGGAUAUUCUGCAGGUUCUUUUGUGUUUGGCUAUUUUACUUAGCAUAAGGUCCUAUAUCCCUGCUGUAGGAGGUGUCAGAAUUUCCUUCCUUCUUAAGGCAGAAUAAUAUUCCAUGACUUCCUAGUGGGUGUGGAGUUGUAUCUCAUUGUGGUUUUGAUUUCCUGAUGGCCAGUGAUGGUAGCCAUUGCGCCAUCAGCCGGGCUCCUGGAAGGGCAUCAAGUGGAGCAGACCAGAAUCUAAGACCAACGCAAGCCUGGCCAACCCACGUGCAGCACACAGACCAGUGAGAGAAAAAAACAACAACAAUAACAACAACAACAAAGGGUGAAGCUGAAGCACCAGAGUAAUAUAAAUAAUGAAACUGACACCACUGGCUCCUGGGAGGAAAGGUUUCUAGUUUGCUACUAAGCCCUGAUAGAAGCUGAAUGUUUGACUAUGGGAAAUCAAGUAAGCCUACGAACUGGAUGCUCUCUGAUCAGCCAAGGCAUGAGGUCAGUCACAUGCAGCAUCAGUCCAUGGUCAGAGGGUGGUGGUCUAUGUGAGGUCAGACUGAAGCGGGUCUAGAAGGCAUAAACAAGAUGUGUAAGCAGGUGGCUCACACCUGGUUGACACCUGCUCCUCCUUCGACACCUGCUCCUGCUGCAUUGCUGCCCCUGCAUCAGUCCACACCCAUUGCCUCAUGGAGAGUUUCCUAGGAGCAGCUUUGGAGCAAGAAAAAGCUCAUUCUUGGUUUACAGAUUGGUCUGCACAAAAUGUUGACUAACAGCUGCUGUACUGGACAUUGCAAAUAUAUCUGUCAUUGCAGAAAGUGUAUUAGUGCUGGCUAGAUCUUGCUGAUUGCAUUCUUCAUGGUGUAUUUAACAUUUUCCUUUGCCAACUCCUAUAGUUGGGUCUAGAGGUUCAAUUUGCUUUGUGUUUGGUUUUGUUUAUUUGUUUGUUUGGCCAGACUACUUCAUGAAUCGUAUUGUCUUUUUCAACUAAGCAGGCUCGUAAUGACUGGUUGCCCCUCUUGUCAUCAGCUGCUGUUAAUGAAUAAUAGAUUCAUUAUUCCAUUAGGCUCUGAAAAUCAGUGAUAUUCUAAAUUUGUCAUUUCUUCUUGAUGUAUUGGCUGGAAUACCUCUAUACAGAACACUUCCUCUCAUAUACCUCACUUCCCCAAGUAGAGGUACUGGAAAGACAACAUACAUAGCUGAUUCUUUACUUUUAUUUUCAAGGUUUCCAAAUGAAUUUAUUUCCUAACGCUUCACAACAAUCACCAAAUAAUAUUUUGAGUGCCACUGUGGACUUGGGCAUUUAAUUUAUUUUAUGUGUUUUGAUCCGUUGAAUUUUUAGAGGCUCAGAUUGUCUUCUGUUUGACCCGUGCCUCCUCUUUACUUUGGCUCCUGAACACUUUUGACAUCAAUCUCUUUGAUAACUUCCUUACUAGCUCAUCUGACAAGAUGUUCCAGGCUUAUUUUAUACCUUGUAUUUUUUAUCCCAGAGUUGGAAGCAGCCAUUUCCUUCAAAGAGCCUUUAUUUCCCAGUGGGAAAUGGUCUUUGAAAGCCACGCUCUGGGUCUAGGGGGUGCUCAUUUGUUUCUAGACCCUUUGAAUGGGCAGACCUAGGAAAUACAGAAUAGAAAUACCAACAACCUCAGAAAAAUGCACUAGAACUUUGGGAAGAUGGUUGACAAGAAGAGGAAAUGCAGGUGUCUUCUAAUCAUAUGAAAAGAGGCUCAAUCUCAUUUGUAAUAAUAGAUUAUUAAACUGAUCCUGACAUACAAUUUCUCAUCUCCCAUAUUAACAAAAUUCAAAGGUUUGACAACACACUCUUGGCAAGGCUGUGCUGAAACAGGCACUCAGAUCUUGCUCAUGGAAAUGCAAACUGGUAAAGUCCAUAUGGAGGGAAAUUUGUUCAGUAAAAUUACAUAGGAGUUUAUUUUGUGCCCCAGUAAUCCAAUUUAUGCGACUCUUUCUCAGAACACUCUGGCAAAAAUAUGAGCAGACAUAGGCAUGAAGCCACUCAUUGCACACAAAAGAUGAGAAACCACCCAAUGUCUAUAAGAGAAGGCAGGAUACAUCUAUAUGAUGGAGUGCUAUGUGGCUAUAAAAAGGAAUGGGAAAGAUUUCUGUAGGCGCUAUGAAAUGAUAUCUAAAACAUAUGAUUCCACACAAAAAAGUGAAGGAAAGAAGUGUGUAGAGUAUGCAACAUCAUAUCUAUGUGGAGGGAGGGCCUCAAAUAUACAUGUACAAAAAUAUACAUAUGUGUGACACACACAAAAACAUUUGGUCUCUGCCUUCGGGUUCUGACACAGAGCUCUCUUAAAACUCCUGUAAUUUUCUGAGUGAUGGGGGUGACUGGAGUGUCUUUUACAGGGCUCCUAAAUAUCCUGGCAUUUCCUGGUAGGAGAGCCUUUUGUUUUAAUGGGGCAACUCUUGGUGGGCUCCUAGGUAGCUUUAGGAUGGG